UUUCUUGAGAAAGUAUAAAGAAGAAAAAGAAAGAGGUGCCAAUUUCAUAUUUGUUGAUGAAACAUGGAUUUUACAGAGAGGCAAGGCAUUAAUUUAUUUGAAAAUUUGUUCUGUGGUCCAAUACAAAGUAUUUCAUUUCCAUUUCAUAUAUUUUUCAGGAACUGUAUCAAAGUCAUGGCAGGACAAGAGUCUACAAUCUGCGAAGAGACGUACUGUUGGAGAUGGUAAAAGGUUUAUUGUUGUUAAUGCUGGAGGGCGCACUGGCUUUGUGCCAGGAGCAGGAUUACUUUUUGUUUCAGGUCAGAAGACUGCAGACUACCAUGGCGAGAUGAAUGGGGAAACUUUCUUGAUGUGGUUUGAAGACAUGUUGGUGCAUCUUGAGGAACCCAGUGUCAUCAUAAUGGACAAUGCUUCAUAUCACAGCACCCAGGUUGAGAAAACACCUACAACGAACUGGACCAAGGAUGCACUGAUCGCGUGGCUGGAGAAGAAUGAGAUAAAACAUGAAAAUAAUUUGUUGAAAGUGGAGCUGCUGAGAAUAGCUAAACAAAACAAGCCCCGAAUACGGUAUAUUAUUUCGUUUUUUUUACAGCAUUUCUUUAAAAGUGAGAUAGUUGCAAAAAAUUACGUAUACGCCUUGUUCUAACACACUUUUCAGAUAUGAGGUAGACGAGUUGGCUCGUAACUAUGGCCACGAAAUUCUACGACUCCCACCCUAUCACUGCCACUAUAAUGCAAUCGAACUAGUUUGGGCUCAAUGUUAACACCAUUACAAUAGUAACGUGGGGCGGGCCAAGAGAUUUGACAAUGAUGCAGUUGCAGCCAUCUGGAAAGAGGCUCUUGAUGCUUCCACACCAGAGAGAUGGGCGAGGUGUGUGGAUCACGUGGAGAAGCUAAUUCAAGCAGACUGGGAGAGAGAAGUCCACAUAGACAGCGGCACCAUUCCUCCACUCAUCAUCCACCUCGGCAAGGAUAGUUCAAGUGAAGACAGUGACAGCGAAGAAUUUGAGGUUACGACACAGCAAGUAGAUGGAGACAGUGAAGUACUGGCAGUUCCUCUUGAUGAUUUACCCGGGUGUUCUUAUUGAGGUCUGUAUGUAAUAAACACCUGGGCAACUGUAAGUAUUGGGGUUUGAAACAUUUUUUUUUCUUUUAUGCAUUCCCAUUAAGUAUGUUGAUUACUGGAACUUUAUGUA